rnacentral:lncRNA from 1 species
GAACAACUGAAUUGUAUACAUGAGCAGGCCACCCUUCCUCACAAUCAAAUGAAGUUCCAUGUAAACUAAAAGCCGGGAACCAUGGAAAGAGGCUCAAGGCCACAGGCGCACCUCAAGAUAACUCAGUACCAGUAAUGGUCCAGUGGAUCACUGACUGCUGCACCUGAGCUGGCCUAAGAACGCCUCAGUGUUGCUUACUGAUGAACGGAAUUGGAAAUCCUCACACUACAACAGGUGACCAUGGAGACAGUCAACCCUGCCAUUCAACAUGGAAGAAAGGACUGCUCACUGGCUUCUCAGGCUGAGAUGUAACCUUGGCCAUGGUGUUUCAUCACAACAGUAGAAGAGUAAAUAAGACAGUUUGCCAGCAUAUGUUGAAUAGGAAAUAUGAUGUUCUCAGAACUCUGCGAACAAUAAAAUCAACCCCUUUGUCACUGGAAAUCUUUACCUUCUCAGCAAGCUAAUACCUGGGCUGGCAAGAUGGCUUAGAGGGUAAGGUCCCCAGGCUCUUAAAGUGUGAGCGGUCCAGGAGGAGAACCAUU